rnacentral:misc_RNA from 1 species
AACGCACAUUGCGCCCCUUGGUAUUCCGGGGGGCAUGCCUGUUCGAGCGUCAUAACAACCCUCAAGCCUGGCUUGGUAUUGGAUGGUCGCGACCCCCCCGGGGGCCGCGCGUCCCGAUGUCUCCGGCCGAGCCGUCCGUCUCCGAGCGUUGUGAUCUAACGAUUCGCUUGGGAGCCCGGGCGGCGCGAUGCCGUCAAACCCUCUUCUAUCAGGUUGACCUCGGAUCAGGUAGGGAUACCCGCUGAACUUAA